GAAAAACAAAAGUCCCUUGUGCCGUUUUCUCAGUAUGAAGCGAACAAGCUUUUUUUUAUUAUUAUUAUUUUUUUAUAUUGAAAUGAUCUGAAGAACAGAUACGGUGAUAAACCGAAACUGAAAGAAAGCCGCAACAACAACAACAACAUAUGAACAAUCUCAAAGGCAAACAAGAACCCCCGGACCCUCUCCCUCCCUGCAGGUGGAUCCGUCCUACCAGAAGAAGAAGCCCCGGUCCCCUUGCCUCCCUUUUACCCCUCAGACCCUCCACACAGCAGGACUGAGAGCUUCUUUCCCCAGGCAAUCAGACUUCUCAACACACAAGCACUCAAUUUAUAUUGAUUCUCCCAGCUGUAAUAUGUGUAAUAAGUAUAUUCUCCACCUCAGUUACUGCUGUGUCACGCAAAUUUAGAUUGCACUGUUGGUAUUGCCUGCACUAUAUUGUCUGUUCAUGUUCUAGUUCUAUUCUAAUUUGUUUCUACUUUUGCACUUUGUCAUCUACAUCAUAUUGUUU
rnacentral:lncRNA from 1 species